rnacentral:rRNA from 1 species
GAUGAACGCUGGCGGCGUGCCUAAUACAUGCAAGUCGAGCGAACAGACGAGGAGCUUGCUCCUCUGACGUUAGCGGCGGACGGGUGAGUAACACGUGGAUAACCUACCUAUAAGACUGGGAUAACUUCGGGAAACCGGAGCUAAUACCGCAUAAUAUAUUGAACCGCAUGGUUCAAUAGUGAAAGACGGUUUUGCUGUCACUUAUAGAUGGAUCCGCGCCGCAUUAGCUAGUUGGUAAGGUAACGGCUUACCAAGGCAACGAUGCGUAGCCGACCUGAGAGGGGGAUCGGCCACACUGGAACUGAGACACGGUCCAGACUCCUACGGGAGGCAGCAGUAGGGAAUCUUCCGCAAUGGGCGAAAGCCUGACGGAGCAACGCCGCGUGAGUGAUGAAGGUCUUCGGAUCGUAAAACUCUGUUAUUAGGGAAGAACAAAUGUGUAAGUAACUAUGCACGUCUUGACGGUACCUAAUCAGAAAGCCACGGCUAACUACGUG